CCUACGGGUGGCAGCAGUGGGGAAUAUUGCACAAUGGGGGAAACCCUGAUGCAGCGACGCCGCGCGAGCGAUGAAGUAUUUCGGUAUGUAAAGCUCUAUCAGCAGGGAAGAAAAUGACGGUACCUGACUAAGAAGCCCCGGCUAACUACGUGCCAGCAGCCGCGGUAAUACGUAGGGGGCAAGCGUUAUCCGGAUUUACUGGGUGUAAAGGGAGCGUAGACGGCUGUGCAAGCCAGAUGUGAAAGCCCGGGGCUCAACCCCGGGACUGCAUUUGGAACUGUGUGGCUGGAGUGCAGGAGGGGCAGGCGGAAUUCCUGGUGUAGCGGUGAAAUGCGUAGAUAUCAGGAGGAACACCGGUGGCGAAGGCGGCCUGCUGGACUGCAACUGACGUUGAGGCCCGAAAGCGUGGGGAGCAAACAGGAUUAGAUACCCUAGUAGUC
rnacentral:rRNA from 1 species